rnacentral:rRNA from 1 species
UACGUAGGGGGCAAGCGUUGUCCGGAAUCAUUGGGCGUAAAGAGCGUGUAGGCGGCCAGAUAAGUCCGCUGUGAAAUCUCGAGGCUCAACUUCGAGCUGUCGGUGGAAACUGUCUGGCUAGAGUCCGGAAGAGGAGAAUGGAAUUCCUGGUGUAGCGGUGAAAUGCGUAGAUAUCGUGAGGAAGACCAGUGGCGAAGGCGGGUCUCUGGACAGUUCCUGACACUGAGGCACGAAGGCCAGGGGAGCAAACGGG